rnacentral:rRNA from 1 species
CAGCAGCCACGGGAAUACGUAGGUGGCAAGCGUUGUCCGGAAUUAUUGGGCGUAAAGCGCGCGCAGGUGGUUUAAUAAGUCUGAUGUGAAAGCCCACGGCUCAACCGUGGAGGGUCAUUGGAAACUGUUAAACUUGAGUGCAGGAGAGAAAAGUGGAAUUCCUAGUGUAGCGGUGAAAUGCGUAGAGAUUAGGAGGAACACCAGUGGCGAAGGCGGCUUUUUGGCCUGUAACUGACACUGAGGCGCGAAAGCGUGGGGAGCAAACAGGAUUAGAUACCCGCGUAGUCCCUGUCUCUUAUAA